GGGACACGUGGUAUCCUGUCUGAAUAUGGGGGGACCAUCCUCCAAGGCUAAAUACUCCUGACUGACCGAUAGUGAACCAGUACCGUGAGGGAAAGGCGAAAAGAACCCCGGCGAGGGGAGUGAAAAAGAACCUGAAACCGUGUACGUACAAGCAGUGGGAGCCUCUUUUAUGGGGUGACUGCGUACCUUUUGUAUAAUGGGUCAGCGACUUAUAUUCUGUAGCAAGGUUAACCGAAUAGGGGAGCCGAAGGGAAACCGAGUCUUAACUGGGCGUUAAGUUGCAGGGUAUAGACCCGAAACCCGGUGAUCUAGCCAUGGGCAGGUUGAAGGUUGGGUAACACUAACUGGAGGACCGAACCGACUAAUGUUGAAAAAUUAGCGGAUGACUUGUGGCUGGGGGUGAAAGGCCAAUCAAACCGGGAGAUAGCUGGUUCUCCCCGAAAGCUAUUUAGGUAGCGCCUCGUGAAUUCAUCUCCGGGGGUAGAGCACUGUUUCGGCAAGGGGGUCAUCCCGACUUACCAACCCGAUGCAAACUGCGAAUACCGGAGAAUGUUAUCACGGGAGACACACGGCGGGUGCUAACGUCCGUCGUGAAGAGGGAAACAACCCAGACCGCCAGCUAAGGUCCCAAAGUCAUGGUUAAGUGGGAAACGAUGUGGGAAGGCCCAGACAGCCAGGAUGUUGGCUUAGAAGCAGCCAUCAUUUAAAGAAAGCGUAAUAGCUCACUGGUCGAGUCGGCCUGCGCGGAAGAUGUAACGGGGCUAAACCAUGCACCGAAGCUGCGGCAGCGACACUA
rnacentral:rRNA from 1 species